GUCCAGGGGCGGGAAUCGAACCCACACCCUUCUGCUUACCGGGCAAGGCCUUGUCCACUCGGCUACCCUGGA
rnacentral:tRNA from 1 species